CAAAGUGAGCUUCUUUGCAAGUCAGCCCGAGUGCAACUGCAUGCACAUGCUCUUCCACAUCAUCGUGUUACUCUAUAACCCUACACGUUGAAAAACACAACAAUCAAUUUUAUACGGGGAAGAAAAUAGAAACAAAGAAAAUGGAACACAAGCAAAAAUUUAUUAACUAUGCUUGCCUGCCUGUGAUUCUAUUUAAAACAAUUGAAACAAUUUAACUUAUAGCAUUGAACUUAGAUUCAAGUAGGACAAUAUAUCGACUUAAAUCAGUUAUGGUCAUAGUCACAGUUCACCCUACAGUAUGUUUAGAUGGAGUGUAUGGAGAUUUUCUAAAAUAGUUAAGAUAAAGUAAUAGAAGGUAAGGUAUCAAAACCUUCCCAACCGGUUAAUUUGGUGAGUUAAAAAAGUGAUAGCUUUGGAGGUUCUGAACCCUCGAAAGACCUUAGCUUCUUUAAAAAAACCUAGCUCUCAAAGAAACCUAUUAGUUUUAAAACACAUAUUUUACCUCCAAAAACUCCCUCCCAAAUAUAGUAUAAAGAACCUGAACUUUUCGAACUGAACACACAAGUUCUCAGGUUCAAACUCAAAUCAGUUAACUGUUGGACUCGGACAGAAAAACAAAGCAGAAUAAGUACACAAACCUUAACCCGUUUCAACAGGUCCUUAGCAUUAGCAUCUUUGUUGAAAUGGUCACGUACAGGUUGCAGUAUCUUAUUUAGUGCCCUUGAUAAAGCAGGUUUCACGUCACCAGGGUGCAAUUCACCACUUUCAUAUUCAGCAACAACUUCUUCAAAGUUUUUAAAAGUCUUUUCUCCACCAUUUUCAACACUGCGCUCCACCUUAAAUUCAUUAAACCAAGGAAAGAUAAUACAUUUGAUGUAGUCCAAACAAGGAUUCCCAUCAACAAUUUUUGGAGGACAGUAUGCCUUCUUGAUCUUCACAUUUACUUCUGCCUCUUCAUCCUCCAUGAAGAUGGAAGAAGAUGGAUCACUUUUAGACAUCUUUUCUUGACCUUGCUGUAAACCGGGGAGCAUGUAAUGAGAUAAAAUGAUAGGCUUGUUUUUCCUCUUGAUGUCAUCACAGUAUUCUCUUGCAAGUACAUUCACUUUCCGUUGAUCCAUGCCCAACUGACAAAUGUCAGCCUUGAGAAAAAAUAUGUCAGCACACUGCAUGCAUGGAUAAAGAAUCUGGGCUGCUGUCAGCUCGUCUUGCUCACUACGACCCAUUAUUUGAACACACCUCAUUAUCCUGGGAAGCUUGUUCCUGCGAGCUAUAUCCAUUACAAGAGGCCAGUACUCAGAUGCCCGAGAGUUAAUUUCCUCUGAAGACCAUAGAAAUUCAACUUUAUCUCCUUCAAGAUCCAUCCCAACUGCCUUCCAUAUCUCAAUCAAAUAACGUCCUACCGUUUGAAUUUUCUUCAAGUCUCCUCCCAUUUUGUUGUUUAGCUGGGCAAACCAAUCAGCAAUCCAAAUUUUCACUUUGCAACCAGCAGAAGUCAGUUUAUUCACAUUUAUCGUCUUCAUAACUCCCUGGGCGAUGUGCAUUCUCCCAGAAGGCUCGAACCCAUCAUAGCAAAUGGGUUGAGGCUUUUUGGAAAGAAGAUUGAAGAGUUCAUCCUCUUGUAUACACUCUUCUCCAACGCUCCUUACGAUCCGAAAUCUCUCCUCUGCACUCAACUGGGAAGAAGAGGAGGAGGACGCAGGUGUAGAAUUAAAAUCGGAGGCAUUGACCGAGAGAGACUGCAUGUCUUGGCAUGGUGGAAUUUGUUCCUCCUCCAUUGACAUGGUUCAACAGAGAUGAAAUGGAGGCAGAAACGAAAUGAAGGGAGAAAGAUAUAUGGGGUUUGAACUAGGUUUCGGAAGAUAGUUUC
rnacentral:misc_RNA from 1 species